AUACCUGUGUAAAUUCACUUGAAAAUUAAUGAGCAUAACCUUUUCUACAUAUUUAUAUAAACCCAGUGAAACCCAUCAACACGGAUAGUAAAUAUUUUCUCAGAAUUUCAAUGCUAAAAAAAUAGCAACAUAUUUUUGAAAUAUAAAAAUUCAUAAGCCUUCAACAUUGAUAGUGAAAUAAAAGACUACUUCAAUAACCGGGUAGCAUAGGCCAGAUCCGGAAGAACAGAAUUAGAAUACAUAAAACUAACCUCAAGGACAGGUAGAUGUGGGAA
rnacentral:misc_RNA from 1 species